UGAACGCUGGCGGCGUGCCUAAUACAUGCAAGUCGAGCGAACGGACGAGAAGCUUGCUUCUCUGAUGUUAGCGGCGGACGGGUGAGUAACACGUGGAUAACCUACCUAUAAGACUGGGAUAACUUCGGGAAACCGGAGCUAAUACCGGAUAAUAUUUUGAACCGCAUGGUUCAAAAGUGAAAGGCGGUCUUGCUGUCACUUAUAGAUGGAUCCGCGCUGCAUUAGCUAGUUGGUAAGGUAACGGCUUACCAAGGCAACGAUGCAUAGCCGACCUGAGAGGGUGAUCGGCCACACUGGAACUGAGACACGGUCCAGACUCCUACGGGAGGCAGCAGUAGGGAAUCUUCCGCAAUGGGCGAAAGCCUGACGGAGCAACGCCGCGUGAGUGAUGAAGGUCUUCGGAUCGUAAAACUCUGUUAUUAGGGAAGAACAUAUGUGUAAGUAACUGUGCACAUCUUGACGGUACCUAAUCAGAAAGCCACGGCUAACUACGUG
rnacentral:rRNA from 1 species